rnacentral:rRNA from 1 species
GACGAACGCUGGCGGCGUGCUUAACACAUGCAAGUCGAACGGAAAGGCCCUGCUUUUGUGGGGUGCUCGAGUGGCGAACGGGUGAGUAACACGUGAUUAACCUGCCCUUGACUUUGGGAUAACUUCAGGAAACUGGGGCUAAUACCGGAUAGGAGCUCCUGCUGCAUGGUGGGGGUUGGAAAGUUUCGGCGGUUGGGGAUGGACUCGCGGCUUAUCAGCUUGUUGGUGGGGUAGUGGCUUACCAAGGCUUUGACGGGUAGCCGGCCUAGAGGGUGACCGGCCACAUUGGGACUGAGAUACGGCCCAGACUCCUACGGGAGGCAGCAGUGGGGAAUAUUGCACAAUGGGCGGAAGCCUGAUGCAGCAACGCCGCGUGCGGGAUGACGGCCUUCGGGUUGUAAACCGCUUUCGCCUGUGACGAAGCGUGAGUGACGGUAAUGGGUAAAGAAGCACCGGCUAACUACGUG